ensembl:rRNA 5S_rRNA 5S ribosomal RNA
GCUUACGGCCACACCGGCCUGAGUACACCUGAUCUCGGAAGCUAAGCAGGGUCGGGCCUGGUUAGUACUUGGAUGGGAGACCGCCUGGGAAUACCAGGUGCUGUAAGCU